rnacentral:rRNA from 1 species
CUUCAGGAAACUGGGGCUAAUACCGGGAUAGGAGCUCUGCUGCAUGGUGGGGGUUGGAAAGUUUCGGCGGUUGGGGAUGGACUCGCGGCUUAUCAGCUUGUUGGUGGGGUAGUGGCUUACCAAGGCUUUGACGGGUAGCCGGCCUGAGAGGGUGACCGGCCACAUUGGGACUGAGAUACGGCCCAGACUCCUACGGGAGGCAGCAGUGGGGAAUAUUGCACAAUGGGCGGAAGCCUGAUGCAGCAACGCCGCGUGCGGGAUGACGGCCUUCGGGUUGUAAACCGCUUUCGCCUGUGACGAAGCGUGAGUGACGGUAAUGGGUAAAGAAGCACCGGCUAACUACGUGCCAGCAGCCGCGGUGAUACGUAGGGUGCGAGCGUUGUCCGGAUUUAUUGGGCGUAAAGGGCUCGUAGGUGGUUGAUCGCGUCGGAAGUGUAAUCUUGGGGCUUAACCCUGAGCGUGCUUUCGAUACGGGUUGACUUGAGGAAGGUAGGGGAGAAUGGAAUUCCUGGUGGAGCGGUGGAAUGCGCAGAUAUCAGGAGGAACACCAGUGGCGAAGGCGGUUCUCUGGGCCUUUCCUGACGCUGAGGAGCGAAAGCGUGGGGAGCGAACAGGCUUAGAUACCCUGGUAGUCCACGCUGUAAACGGUGGGUACUAGGUGUGGGGUCCAUUCCACGGGUUCCGUGCCGUAGCUAACGCUUUAAGUACCCCGCCUGGGGAGUACGGCCGCAAGGCUAAAACUCAAAGGAAUUGACGGGGCCCCGCACAAGCGGCGGAGCAUGCGGAUUAAUUCGAUGCAACGCGUAGAACCUUACCUGGGUUUGACAUGGAUCGGGAGUGCUCAGAGAUGGGUGUGCCUCUUUUGGGGUCGGUUCACAGGUGGUGCAUGGCUGUCGUCAGCUCGUGUCGUGAGAUGUUGGGUUAAGUCCCGCAACGAGCGCAACCCUUGUUCACUGUUGCCAGCACGUUAUGGUGGGGACUCAGUGGAGACCGCCGGGGUCAACUCGGAGGAAGGUGGGGAUGACGUCAAGUCAUCAUGCCCCUUAUGUCCAGGGCUUCACGCAUGCUACAAUGGCUGGUACAGAGAGUGGCGAGCCUGUGAGGGUGAGCGAAUCUCGGAAAGCCGGUCUCAGUUCGGAUUGGGGUCUGCAAC